rnacentral:tRNA from 1 species
UGAGUGGACUAAAGCGUCGGAUUGCUAAUCCGUUGUGCGAGUUAUUCGUACCGAGGGUUCGAAUCCCUCUCUUUC